rnacentral:rRNA from 1 species
UACAGAGGUCCCAAGCGUUGUUCGGAUUCAUUGGGCGUAAAGGGUGCGUAGGCGGCGCGGUAAGUCGGGUGUGAAAUCUCGGGGCUUAACUCCGAAACUGCAUUCGAUACUGCCGUGCUUGAGGACUGGAGAGGAGACUGGAAUUUACGGUGUAGCGGUGAAAUGCGUAGAUAUCGUAAGGAAGACCAGUGGCGAAGGCGGGUCUCUGGACCGUAACUGACGCUGAGACACGAAAGCGUGGGUAGCAAACAGG